CUGGAUUAAUACCGCAUGUGAUCGCAAGAUCAAAGGAGGGGACCUUUCGGGGCCUUUCGCUUUUCGAGGAGCUCGCGGCCUAUCAGCUUGUCGGUGAGGUAAAAGCUCACCAAGGCAGUGACGGGUAGCUGGUCUGAGAGGAUGAUCAGCCACACUGGGACUGAGACACGGCCCAGACACCUACGGGUGGCAGCAGUCGAGAAUCAUUCGCAAUGGGGGCAACCCUGACGGUGCGACGCCGCGUGGAGGAUGAAGGCUUUCGGGUCGUAAACUCCUGUCACCACAGAACAAGACUACUGUGUUAAUACCACAAGAGUUUGAUGGUAUGUGGAGAGGAAGGUCCGGCUAACUCUGUGCCAGCAGCUGCGGUAAUACAGAGGGACCAAGCGUUGUUCGGAUUCACUGGGCGUAAAGCGUGUGUAGGGGGCUGGGAAAGUCGAAUGUGAAAUGCCAGAGCUCAACUUUGGAACUGCAUUCGAUACUGCUCGGCUAGAGGAUCGGAGGGGGAAACGGAAUUCCUGGUGUAGCGGUGAAAUGCGUAGAUAUCAGGAGGAACACCUGUGGCGAAGGCGGUUUCCUGGACGACUCCUGACCCUGAGACACGAAGGCUAGGGUAGCA
rnacentral:rRNA from 1 species